AUUGAACGCUGGCGGCAGGCCUAACACAUGCAAGUCGAACGGUAACAGGAAGCAGCUUGCUGCUUCGCUGACGAGUGGCGGACGGGUGAGUAAUGUCUGGGAAACUGCCUGAUGGAGGGGGAUAACUACUGGAAACGGUAGCUAAUACCGCAUAACGUCGCAAGACCAAAGAGGGGGACCUUAGGGCCUCUUGCCAUCGGAUGUGCCCAGAUGGGAUUAGCUAGUAGGUGGGGUAACGGCUCACCUAGGCGACGAUCCCUAGCUGGUCUGAGAGGAUGACCAGCCACACUGGAACUGAGACACGGUCCAGACUCCUACGGGAGGCAGCAGUGGGGAAUAUUGCACAAUGGGCGCAAGCCUGAUGCAGCCAUGCCGCGUGUAUGAAGAAGGCCUUCGGGUUGUAAAGUACUUUCAGCGGGGAGGAAGGGAGUAAAGUUAAUACCUUGGCUUAUUGACGUUACCCGCAGAAGAAGCACCGGCUAACUCCGUG
rnacentral:rRNA from 1 species